rnacentral:rRNA from 1 species
CACGCUGUAAACGAUGAUAACUAGACGCUGGUGGGGGUAAAGCCCUGUUAGUGUUGAAGCUAACGCGAUAAGUUAUCCGCCUGGGGAGUACGGUCGCAAGAUUAAAACUCAAAGGAAUUGACGGGGGCCCGCACAAGCGGUGGAGCAUGUGGUUUAAUUCGAUGCAACGCGAAGAACCUUACCUACCCUUGAAUCCUUGGAAUUUGACUGAAAGGUUGAAGUGCCCGCGAGGGAACCAAGAGACAGGUGC